AAUAUAUCAACCUCUUUUUGAGUGUUGGAAGUGGGGGUCUCUUUUGCUGGUCUCUAUAGAAUCAGCUCCCCUGAAAUGUAUUAGUAGAACAAUCGUGUUCAUUGGUGUGAUAAACUAUUUACACUAUUGACAUGAGCGAAGUUCAGCUUCUAAUAGUCCAUUGACUUGGACAAAAUUUUUAUUA
rnacentral:misc_RNA from 1 species